rnacentral:lncRNA from 1 species
AUGUGUAUUAGAUCGUUACUGGAUAUAUAUCAAAAAAAUUUAUAGUAUGUAUCAUUGAUUAUAUAUUUAGUAUAUAUCAUAUGAUCAUAUGGUAUGAAUCGUUAUGUAUUGAAAAUGAGGAAGAAAGUGAAUGCUUUAAUUAUGGGAUUAAUAACUCCAUUACUAGAAAAAGUUUUUAAAUUUUAGACUUAUUCUUUAAGAUUAGUAUUAAGAG